UCUUGGUGUAUAGCCGUAAUGUUUACAGGCGUUGCAUGGCUGUCGUCAGUUCGUGUCGUAAGACGUAUGGUUUAUUCCGCUAAACGAACGCAACCCUUGUUCAUAGUUAAUAUAGACUAUGAAAUCACUGGACAACAGUGACUAAGGGAGGAUGAAGACAAGUCGUCAUGGCCCUUAUGUAGUGGGCUAUAGACGUGCCGCAAAAACCUAAACAAAAGGAUGCAAUGAUGUAAAUCGGAGCUAAUCCCCUAAAUAAGGUUUAAUGUUCUGAUUGUAGUCUGGAAUUCGACUACAUGAAGCAGGAAUUGCUAGUAAUCGUGAAUCACCACGUCACGGUGAA
rnacentral:ncRNA from 1 species